GUUGAGAGAGAAGGUGUGAUGAUGGAAUAAGAAAAAAGAAAAUAUGAUGAGAGAACAAGGAGAGAGAAUGUGAAAUAAAAAAAAAAUUAAACAAAUAUACUAAAGGUAUUUUUAUCUAAAAUUUAAUUACAUUCUUAUUCCAUCAAAGCCCAAAGGAGGGGGUGAGUUUCAUCCAUAUCUAAAUUUUUGGGUUUCAUUUUAAAAUCUUGAUUUCAUUUCCAUCAACUAAAUACAAGGUUUGAGAAUGAAUCUAUUCUCUCAUUCUCAAGCCCCUUAAAAAAAAAAUACUUAUAAGUACUUUAAUAAUUUUGAGUAGGUGCAGUAAGUUUGGAUAGAUAUCCAAACUGUCAUAAUUGAUUUUUGUGUUUUUAAGUGUGAUGGUUUUUUGAUGAUUAUAAAAAUAAGAGUCAUCAGUUUUUAUUUUAUUCAUCUUGGAUAAAAUAAAUUCAUUUCUCGUGUUUCAACUAUUGGAUCAUUAUGUGGAGUUUCGCUUGGACUUUCGGUUUUACUUUAAUCAUCGAUGAAAAUUUUUUAUGGAGGCAAUCAGAUCAUACGACUUAGAUACUAGGUAAAAAAAUCUCCUCCUAAAUCACUUCUGAAUUAAGUGCCUGUCAAUUUAUUCCAUGCUUUGAACUAUAAAAUUCUUAUUCCUAAGUUUUUUCUUCCCAUUGAAGACAAAUAAUUGUCAAAUCUGAAAGAUUGAAUUAUGAGAAAAAUAUCUUAAAAUUCUUAAUCAUAACUUUACUUUGCAUGAGUAAUCUCCAUGUCCAAAAAAUUUUAUUUCUACUCCAAUUUUUAAUAUGGAUACUAUAUGUAAGUUGAAAUUGUGAUUAAAAAUUUUAACAAAAUUUACCAUUGAAUCAUUUAUAUUUCCUAAAAUUUUGUCUUCAAUCGAUCAUAAUGAAUACUAUUUCUCUGACUUUUCAUAACAAGCUCAUAAAAAAAAAAGAAAAAAGUUGCCAUUUCAUUAGUUAGUCACCUUGUGCCAUCACUCUCUUCAGUUAGCCCCAGAAUCAAAAAGCACAAACCAAAAAACAUCUUCCUAGUGGUUACUUUGGAGGGUCCUUUUCUAACGUUGAAGGACAAUUGGGAUGGAAAGGGAUGUUUUAUGGUAAACUCCAAUAACUAUGGGAUAAAUUCAAAACACAAUUUAUGCAUAUUUAGCAGUUGAUCUCUAAAAUAUUUAUCUCUACUAAAAUUCAAAUCCUGAUACUCUUAGUUAUUCCUCUAAGCAUUUUAUCAUUGCACCACACCAGUGGAACCUAAGCAAUUUGUUAUUGUCUCGGUAUAGAAUUAUCACCUUCUACAUUGUCGAAGGUGACUAUUGAUAGACACACUAAGGAAUAUGAUGAGAUGCUUAUCAAUUACCAUCGUCUUUGUUACCUCUUCUCCAUCUCCUCAACCGACACUAAUGGAGCAACUAUCGUAGCAUCCUAAGCCGCGGAAAACCAACAUCAGGUCCAUCAAAAGUUGCCCAAUGACUAAGAAAUUCUUUAAAACUUCAUUUAUCAAAAUGAAAAUGUACAUAAAUCUAUUUUCUUUAUAAAUCAAAUACCAAUAAUAUAGACAAAAAUAGUGAGUUUUUUUUUCCAAUUUUUUUCUUCCCUUCGAAAUUUUCUGUCCAAAGAAACAGGAAAAAAAAUAUAUCGCCUCAUAUUCCACUGCGCUGACAUAAACACAUCUUUUGUGAAUAUACCUAAAUACGAGGGCUAGCAAGCAAUUUAACUUUUGAAAAGAUUAAAUUUGCAAACAAAAACAAAAAAAAAAAAAAAGGAACGAACCGAUGCUGUGGAAACCCUAGUUCAUGGCUUAUAAGCCCUCUCUCGCUCUUUGUGUGUUACCUUCUUCCUCGUUCUUGAUCCGGCACCUUCGCCUUUCCCAAUCAAUUUGUUGAUAUUGAUUCUUCUGUUACUAUUGGGAAUAGAGACAAGAUUUCGAUCUGACUUCGGGAUGGCUUCGCUCGGUGAGCUCGCCUACACCGACGCUGCUCUCGUCCUGCACGAUCAAGGCAUCUCCAACACGUUGGUGUGGCCAUAUGAAAGGAUGAUUGUUAGGGCUUGUAGAGUUGGUUGAAAACUGCAAGCGGAUGAUCAGGCGAGAGGACAACUUAAGUGAUCCUCUCUCGUUUACUUAGACAUUGAUUGGAGAUUAACGAUGAAUGGAUCAAUUAACGUGUGUUGGGGCACUCACAUAUUAGGCUAACCUGAGUAUCGUCUCAUCAUCUGAUUCCCUUCCAUGAAUCCAUAUGGUCUCGAGCAAGAGGAGGCGUGCAUCGCCAUUUUCAUAUUUCAAGCAUCAGUUUUCUUCCAAUUCAAGCUUCAUCAGAAAUGUUACGAAGAAAACAAUUUAUUAAAUUUCACUCAUUAGUUUGAUCCAUCAGUUUGGAGUUUAGUCCUUGCUCCAUUCUUUUUCUUAUUUAGCACUAGGUAUUAGUUUAUGUUGAUUAAUUCUAUAAUGACUGAUUGCAGUAAGCGGUUUAUCAGUCACGAUGAUAAAUUGAUAAGUAUUUGUAAUGGACGGUUAAUCAGUCUAACAUUCUUAGAUAAAUUUGUUCA